AAGAAAGACAUAAAGGUUAUGGGACUGGCUUGAAACUAGUCUUUGGGGGUUCAAUUCCUUCCUUUCUUG
rnacentral:tRNA from 1 species